rnacentral:rRNA from 1 species
GAUGCCCGCGUAUCGGAUUUACUGGGCGUAAGCGCGCGUAGGUGGUUAAUUAAGUCAAAUGUGAAAUCCCCGAGCUUAACUUGGGAAUUGCAUUCGAUACUGGUUAGCUAGAGUAUGGGAGAGGAUGGUAGAAUUCCAGGUGUAGCGGUGAAAUGCGUAGAGAUCUGGAGGAAUACCGAUGGCGAAGGCAGCCAUCUGGCCUAAUACUGACACUGAGGUGCGAAAGCAUGGGGAGCAAACAGGAUUAGAUACCCUGGUAGUCCAUGCCGUAAACGAUGUCUACUAGCCGUUGGGGGAUUUGAUCCUUUAGUGGCGCAGCUAACGCGAUAAGUAGACCGCCUGGGGAGUACGGUCGCAAGACUAAAACUCAAAUGAAUUGACGGGGGCCCGCACAAGCGGUGGAGCAUGUGGUUUAAUUCGAUGCAACGCGAAGAACCUUACCUGGCCUUGACAUAGUAGAAACUUUCCAGAGAUGGAUUGGUGCCUUCGGGAAUCUACAUACAGGUGCUGCAUGGCUGUCGUCAGCUCGUGUCGUGAGAUGUUGGGUUAAGUCCCGCAACGAGCGCAACCCUUUUCCUUACUUGCCAGCAUUUCGGAUGGGAACUUUAAGGAUACUGCCAGUGACAAACUGGAGGAAGGCGGGGACGACGUCAAGUCAUCAUGGCCCUUACGGCCAGGGCUACACACGUGCUACAAUGGUCGGUACAAAGGGUUGCUACACAGCGAUGUGAUGCUAAUCUCAAAAAGCCGAUCGUAGUCCGGAUCGCAGUCUGCAACUCGACUGCGUGAAGUCGGAAUCGCUAGUAAUCGCGGAUCAGAAUGCCGCGGUGAAUACGUUCCCGGGCCUUGUACACACCGCCCGUCACACCAUGGGAGUUUGUUGCACCAGAAGUAGGUAGUCUAACCGCAAGGAGGACGCUUACCACGGUGUGCCGAUGACUGGGGUGAAGUCGUACAGGGUAACCAUAUAAA